rnacentral:lncRNA from 1 species
UUUUUUUUUUUUUUUGUCUUUUUAGGGCUGCACCUGCGGCAUAUGAAAGUUUCCAGGCUAGGGGUCGAAUCAGAGCUGUAGCUACCAGCAUACACCACAGGCAUAGCAACGAGGGAUCCGAGCCGUGACUUCAAACUACACCACAGCUCACGGCAUCGCCAGAUCCCUAACCCACUGAGUGAGGCCAGGGAUUGAACCUCAUGGAUACCAGUCAGGUUCAUUAACCACUGAGCCACAAUGGGAACUCUGCUUUGUCCCUCUUUAGUUUUGUGACCGUGGUGCUGUUGAAUGGUCUCAUUAAUGUUAGAAAUAGGCUAAGUUAAUGCUAGCUACUCUAAUAGAGAAAGUGUAAUCUCAGCAGCAGCUCAGCACUGGGAGUUUUGUUUCUGUUUUUGUUUCUUUUCCUCAUCCAUGCCAAGAUCUGCAUAGGUCAGUGGGAAGCUCUGUACCACAGUUAUUUAGGAAACGAGGUACCUUUUAUUGUCAACAAAUGACUUAAUUUAGGCUUUCCUGGCACUGGCUGUUGAGCAGAGGGCAAGUGAGAGGCAUGAAAGAAGUCAUACUCUCUUGUGCACAUAGCAUUGCCAUUGCCACUGCAUUGAUAUCCCACUGAUGAAACCUGGGCAUUUGGCCACACAUGGAUUCCCAGGGCUAGGAAAUGGGUUAGCUGCGUGCUCCAGGAGAAAAGCAAAUGGAUUUGGUAAACCUCUAUUUGGUCUGCUAUACUCAGCUUACAGUUAUAAAAUGGUAAUAAUAAUAAUACUAUCUCAUUUUAUCUCAUUGAGUUGUUUGAGGAUCUGACCAAUAUAAACUGCAUAUGCUAGUGCCUGACGCAUAGUCAGUGGCUCACUGUACCUUCGCCGAGACUGUUUCUCAAGCAGGAAGAUGGGACAAAGUAAGGAAGGACAAGAUGGAGUUUUCAGCAAAGAGGCUAAGAAAAUAUUAUAAAAACAUGUCUCGCAACACAGGGGGAGAGUAGUCUAGUUGCUGGUUGUUAAGAAAUUGGAUUCUGAGUAUAGACUGGGAUUCCAGCACUUUUGAGCUAUUCCCACCACCAGACUUGGAUGUGUCUCUUCUCCCUGGGCUUUAGCAUUCUUGUCUGUAGAAAUGGGAAGAUGGUCAUUAAAUCUUAUUGUAGAGUGCAGUAAGGAGAGCAGACACUAAAGAAUAGGUUUUGUGCAGACUCCUUGGUAGGCACUGAAGCCCUGCUCAAGGGUAGGGAAUAGUAUUCCUGCGAAAGAAAACAGCGUGGGCAAAGAUUCUGAGGCUGGCAAGAGCUGGGCCAUUGUAGCUGAGGGGAGUGGCAGGCAGUGAAAUAUGGAGGGGGAUGCAGAGAUGUGCAGGUUUUUAUCGGCCUCUGUGAGAAAUUUAGAUUUUCUCCUAAUUGCUCUGGGAGGCUGUAGGAGGGUUUCACUAGAUUAGAGACAUGAUCUGACGUGUUAAAUCUCCCUCUAACUACUGCGUGGGGAAUGUACUCAGCAGAGCCAAGAACUGAUGCCAGGGACAUGGCCAGGCUGUAUAAUCCAGGAGUGUGUUGCUGGUGGACUGGCCCAGGACUUCAGUGUUGAGCUGUGGGGAAGAGUAUGGCUGGGGACGUGUUAGAAAGCAGCGCUAACAGCGUGUGUGGAUGUACAGAUGGUUGGGAUAAGGCAGUGAACUCCAGGGAAUGGUUUUCACAUCUCUGUCGUUAAACGCCUACUACAUGCACGGGACUGCAGGGCAUGUCCUAUUCUCAUGUUUAGAUUUCUGAGUCAGCACCCAGGAACACGUUGAGUGACUGGGUGAAGCCAAAGGCUUCUGGAGCACAGAAAAGGUGCGAUUCUUCCCCGUCUCCGUAAGCAUUAUGUGCAUGGUUCAUUUUUCCGUGGUCUUGUUUCUCUGACUCAGAAGGGUCUUGGCCCUGCCCAGGUUAGAUGCUGCUGGUCAGGAGACCAUGUGCAUGGUGGCCAGAACUGCAGCUCUGUGGGGCACUACGCCCAGCUACUUAUCAGACAUUAUCCUGGGCAGCUUGAUUUCCUUCUCUGUAAACCGGCCUCCCUCCAGGCUGCUAUGUAGAUUAAAGGACAUUGUCUGUACAUGUAUAUAUGCUUGAUAUAUGAAUAUGCUUAAUAAACAGGAGAUACUUUUGUAGUUAUUAUCCCAUAUGGUUUUCCUCCUUUGUACUAACCUUUCCCCACGUCCCAUCUCCCUCACCAGAGAAUGCUUCUGACUUAAGGAUUUUCUGGAUAAAACCAUAUGUACCACAGUUUUCUAAUGACAUUUCAGCUGGCUUUAGGCCUUAAGUACCUUGGUCAUGACCCUGAUGAUCUCCAGCAUAAGAUCUUGACAUCCCACCAGCCAAACCCAGGACAUCCCUGCCCAUCCCCUGGGUCUUUUUCCACAGGUGGCAGCUGGGGAUAACAUGGAAUUAAUUGUGCUUUAAAUGAAAAUUUAAGUUCACUGAUGAAAAUUAAAUCCCUCAUAAAGGGCGUUUGGGGCCAAUAAAAAUCACUGGCUGCUAAUUUGAACAUAUUUCUCUCAUAUGCACUUAAUGUAAUAGUUGAUAUAUUUAGCCUUAAAUAUCCUUUUAUUUUGAAGACAUCUUUGCCUCACUGUUUCCUAGGUAGUAAUUUUUUUGUUUCUAUCGAUUACUUAUUUACAAUCAAGAUUUUCUUUCUUCUAGUUCGAAAGUGUAUGCACUGACUCUUAGUAUGGUUUAAGCUAAAAAUUACACUUAUUUAACACGAUAGAACAAAAGGUUUCAGGAGUUCCCAUUGUGGCUCAGCAGGUUAUGAACCCGACUAGAAUCCAUGAGGAUGCAGGAUCAAUCCCUGGUCUCAAUCAGUGGGUUAAGGAUCCGGCGUUACUGCAGGCUGCAUCGUAGGUCACAGACGUAGCUUGGAUCUGGCAUGGCUGUGGCAUAGGCCAGCAGCUGCAGCUCUGAUUCAACCUCUAGCCUGGGAACUUCCAUAUGAUGUAGGUACGGCACCUCCCCCCAGAAAAAGAAAGAAGAGGGAGGUUUCAAAUACUUUACUUUCCUCUUGUACAAUAUUGGGACUUAGAACAUUAAUCAUUUUGUCCCAUUUGUGUGUGUAUGUGUGCUAUUGAGACAGUAAGUGACAAUGCUAUUGUUCUAACUUCGUAAUAGAAUGUUAUCCAUGUCUUACACAGAUAAUGAGCAUCUUUUAAAUCCACAGAUGCAUCUCUCUCUUGGAUCCUCGUUUCUUCCAACAUCGCAGAUCUUUCAUCUGGGAUCACUUUUCAUCCUCUUUGAAUAGAAAAUCCUUAAAUAGGAAUUUUGUUUUAUGCAGGUUCAUUUUACAUUAAAUUUUCUCAUUUAUGACUUGAAAUAGUUUUAUUUCAUACUCUUUCUUCAAGGACACUAUUGAUGCGUUUAGAAAGUUAGGUUAACACAUUUCUUCCUCAGUCUGUAUAGGUCCCUUCCACUGUGUCCCUGAACCACAACUGUGUUAUCAUAUCCUCCAGGUCUGAGGUUAGGUUAGGAAGAGAAAUCCCAACAUCAGCGGAGGCAAUGACUGAGUGGGCUUUAGGAUUGUCACAUUAAAAGGAUGAGAGUGUUGAGUGUAGGGAGAAGUAAUAUGGCAGGUAUCUGGUGGCCAAAUUAGAUUGUGCCAGAAACUGGCUAGGUGCUCUGUGGUCCCUUUUGCUCUUCUUGGACACCCAGCUUCCCUUAUACUUACACAUUUGGUGCUUGUCAACUGCUGUCACAUUCUUAAAAUUGACAAGUGGAAAUUCUUGAAGUUGACAAGGGGAAGAACUGACAUUACUUCCACUUUGGCUUGAGGACAGUUAGACAUGAUGUCUCAAGUGUUGGAUCAUAUGACCUGUAAGGAUUUGUCUGUUAGGCAGUAGACCUACCUAUAGUUAUGAAACUCUUCUUUAUGACCUAUUUUUAAGAAUAAAAAAUUUAAAAUGCACCAAAUAAUACAAAUUGGGUUUUGGCCACGUUGAGUCUAAUGUUCCAGAGACCCUUGAAUGAAGGUUAUGAAUAGGCAGGACUAGACACACAAUUAUGGUGCUGGGGAGACUUUCAGGUUAUAAGAGUCCAAAACGUAGCAUCUGAUGUAUGGAUGAGUAUGGAAUUGUGGGUUAGAUUUAGGAGGAGGAACCUCUUGGUCAUGGUGUCAAUUAAAGUGCAAGGAAGGAAAGGAUAGGGUGGGCCCUGAGGACUGGUUAUAUUGUGUGGGCAAGUAGGUGAGAAUGGUGGGCCUCACAAGGACAGGAGAGGGAAAUAGUGGCCAUAGGGGUGCAUAUAGGGAAGAUCGGGGUCUGGCAGGUGGCCAGGUAUUCUGGGGGGAGUGGAUUUGAGAUGUAUGCUGAAGUUCAGCAGAAAUGGAAGUACAAUUACAAUAAAGCCUGGACUGGUGCUUAUUCACCCUUCUGUGGGCAUAUCUGGCUUUUGACCUGGUACUACUGGUGAUGAAGGGACAGAAUGUACAAUACAGAUGAGAAAACUCUUGAGGGUGUAGUUAUGACUGAGAUUGAAGCCAGAAACAGGGCCCAGCCUAGAGGGAGGCCUUCAAAGCAGGAUUGGGUGCUGCCCUUGCCAGUGCGUUCAGUUACAUCUCCCCUAAGAGACAUGUUGAAGUGCUACCACAUAGGACCUCCAGAUGUGACCUCACUUGGAAAUAGUCGUUAUAGAGCUAAUCAAGCCAAAAUGAGGUCAUUAGAAUGGGCCUUAACCCACAAUGACUGGUAUCCUUAGAAAAAGGGGGAAAUGGACACAGAGACAUAUUCACAGCAGGAAGAUGAUGUGAAGACACAGAAGAUGACCAGGUGGCUGGAGUGAGGCAUGUACAAGCCAAGGAACACCCAGGACUGCCAGAAAACACCAGAAGCCAGUUAAGGGCCUGGCUCAGAACCAGAGAGCAUGGGCCUGCUGACACCUUGAUUUCAGACUUCUAGCCUCCAGAACUGUGAGAUAAUUAAUUUCUAUUAUUCAAUUGUGUGGUACUUUGUUACAGCACAAUGAGGAAACUAAUACAGAAGGCCUUGGGCAGGAUGGGAUCCUGGUUACACUUGCAAAACACUCUCCGAAUGCCAUCUGCAGAGUGACUUGUGGGGAAUCCAUGGAGAAAGCUAUGGUAUGGGCCAGGGUUGGGUAGCAGUGGUGAUGAGGGUUCAUGGGUGGGGUCUAGAAUUGUGAGGAAAGUGCAGUCUAAAGAGUAAUGUGCAUGUGGGGAGGAGGUGUUAACUGUUGGCUCCAGGGUCCUGUUAUUAGGGCUUAAAGAAAGCUGAGCCCACAUCUGUUUGUAUCUGGGAGCUAUGAUCUUGGUGACAACAGGAGAUGGGGUUGGACCCUGUGUAUUAAUCAUGUCUUUUUAUUUUCUAUAUUUAUGAUGUGUUGACAUUUAGGGGGGGUUGCUAAUCCUAGAGAGACUGCCCCUCUCAGAGCUAAGCUAAUUCCUAGAGGCAGGAAACAAGGUACCUGCGAGCAAUUCUUUGAUACGCAAACCAACCAAACAGGGUCCUUUCCACCAACCAUGUCAUUUUAUCAGGGUUGUGCAGCCUGGAACACUAUCCCCUUGUGCUAAAUCAUCCCAGGAUCAGGUCAACUGCCCAGAGCUUACAAAAUUAUUCAAACUCUCUAAUCCUAAACCUGCUGAGCUUGUCUACCCUGGUUUGUCAAUUCCUUUCUGACAAAAACCACAAUAGUCUCUGGCCCUGCUUCCUCCUCACACCUCCUGCCUCCUGACCAACCCUGUUUCCUCCCCACGUGGCCCUGCAUGGCUUGCCACGCUCCUUCUUAGGAAUUGUAAGUAAUAAACUCUUCUUUCAUAGAGAGUUUUCUCCAUGUCUGUCAUCUUACCUUACCUAUUUAAAUAAAUCCCGGGUAUACCUUAAAAUACCCUGCAUACCAAGGGUAUCUAUCUAUCCUAGGCCUGUCUGUCGUCACUGUGGGUUAACACAGUGAUCAAUAGGUAAGAGCUGAGAGAGCACAAGUGGCACCAGUAUCUGUAUUGCCUCUGACUUGGGUAGUUGGGGAAGAGGUUGAGCUUGGGAUGGACAUAUGGGAGGAUGGACUGGACCCUGAUGAUCAUGGAAUCAGCUGCCCUCACACUGUGUGACCUUUGAGGCUAUCACUGUUUAAUUUUCCCUGGGGAACUGAGGACUGUUUGAUGAGGCCGAGAGAAUCCUGAACUGUGAAAUGAUACUGGACAACACUGUACUUAGAGCUUCACUGGGCGGGAGGCUUCUCAUGGACCCUGGGGACCUGAGCUGAUUCCUGCCUAUCCCCUUCUCCCCAGAGGUAGCUCUUAUUCCCACAGCUGGAGCAGAGUCCAUCCCCACUUUCCCAGCAUAUGGGUUCUAGGGCUGAGCUGUAUACACUACUCCAAGUAAUGCACUCCUCUACCAGCCCUGACAACUGCCACCCUGAAGCCCUGCAUAUAGGGGACCAAGAGUCCUUAGUCUUGAAGUCAGCCCAAUGGAUCCCAUCUGGCUUGGCCACUCCCUCCUCGGAUGGGGGCGUCUACCAUCACUAAACAGGAGUUGAAGCACCGCAUGACAUCAAGACUAGGUUCAGAGUUCCUUUUGCUGCUCAGUGGGUUAAGAACCUGACAAUUGGUUUUCAAAUAUCAAGCAAACCUUAUAUUUCUGAAAUAAACCCAUCUUUGUCAUGAUGCAUGAUCCUUUUAUAUAUUCCUGUAUUUGAUUUGCUAAAAUAUUAUUGGAAUUCCUGCAUGUAUAUUCAUAAGGAAUGUUGGACUGAAUUUUUCUUGUAAUGCUUUAGUCUGGUUGAGAUAUCAACAUAAAGCUAAGUCCACAGAAUAUAUUGGGUAAAUACUACCUACUCUUCCACCUUUUGGAAAAGUUUGUGUAGAAUUGCUAUUACUUCUUCCUUAAGUGUUUGGUAGAACUCACAGUGAAACCAUUUAAGCCUGC